UCCAAGGGUUCAUUAAAGCUGACAAGCCAACUCCAGUGUUCAUCGCAGCACUAUAUGCAAGAGCCAAGACGUGGAAACAACCUAAAUGUCCAUCGCCAGAGGAGUGGAUCAAGAAGAUGGGGUACAUAGACACAAUGGAAUAUUACUCAGCCAUUAAAAGGAAAGAAAUAACGGCAUUUGCAGCAACAUGGAUGGACCUAGAAAUUAUCAUGCUAAGUGAAGUCAGUCAGACAGUGAGACACCAACAUCAUAUGCUGUCCCUUAUAUGUGGCAUCUAAAAAAAGGACACAAUGAACUUUGCAGAACAGAUACUGACUCACAGACUUUGAAAAACUUCUGGUUUCCAAAUGAGACAGGUUGGGGCGUUGGGGGCAAUGCGCUGGGGGUUUGAGAUGAAAAUGCUAUAAUUUGGUUGUGGUGAUCAUUGUACAGCUAUAAAUGUAAUAAUAAAAUUCAUUGAGUAAUAUAAAAAAAAGCUGACAAGCCAAAUAGUAGGAGAUUAAGUAAGGAGAAAGGAAGGUUCUGAACAUUAAAGAAGGUAUUAAUAUGAAGAUAAGCACUAGAACAAAAGUACCUCCUCUCUGAGAUAGAAAAAAAAGGCUGUAAAAUGAAUACAGCAUGAUAGUAAGUAAAAAUAAUAAACAGUGUGACAGGGUUGAGACUGAAUAUGUCAGUGAUAUAAAAAUAUAAAUGAGCUGAAAUUCAUCUAAAUGAAAGAAAAACAUUUGCAGUUUGGCUCUCAAGCAAAAUACAACUCUUUGCUGUAUACGAGAGACAUACCUAAAACAAAAGGAUCCAGAAAGACUGAAAUUAGCAGGAUGACUGAAAGACAUGUACGAGAAUGUUCUUAGGAGUUCCUGCUGUGGCACGGUGGGUUGAGGACCUGGAGUUCCUGCUGUGGCCUAGUGGGUUAAGGACCUGGAGGGGCCGCAGUUGUGGUGUGGGUUGCAGCUGUGGCUUGGAUUCGAAUUCUUGGUCCAGGAAUAUCUGUAUGCUGUGGGUGUGGCCGAAAAAGAAAAAAAAGUUCAGACUCAACCAAAAUACCCACUGGAAGUAGAGCGGAUAAAUGUAAAUUGUGUGUUUCCACAGAGUGGAAUACUACUCUCAUUAUUGGUAAGAAUAUAUAAUGUAGAAGGACAUGUAACAACAUGGAUGAAUCUCAUAAUCAUACUAUUAAGCAAAAGAGGCACAAAACGAGAGUCCAUAGUAUCUGAUCCCAUUUUUAACAUUUUUAUUCCAUUUUUAUUUCAGGUUUAUUGAGGUAUAAUUGAUACAUAAAAUCAUAAUAUAUUUAAAGUCUACAUCAUGGUGAGUCGAUAGAAGUAUACAUUGUGAAUUGGCCCCCUGUAUUGUUAAUUAAUACAUCCAUCACCUCCCAUCUUUAUCCUUUUUUGGAGGGGUCGGGGGGGGUGAGAACAUUGCAGUUCUACUCGCUUAGUAAAUUUCACUUGUGCAAUACAGUGACAUGUAUGAUUAGCAUCACCAUAGAUUCAUUCGGCAUGCUUUUUAAUGUCAUAUAACAUAUUUGUUAUAUGUGUAAUAUGUUAUACAUAACAUGAAACUUCAUAUAUGAAGUUUUUAUGUAUUUUCAUAUUAUAUAUGUCUAAUAUGUAAAUAUAAUAGAUGAAGUUUAAAAGCAGGCAGAACGAAUGUAUAGUGACAGCGAUCAGGAUUGUGGUCCCUCUUGGAGAAGGGUAAUGGCUAGAAAGGGAUGCAGGAGUUCCCUGAUAACUCAGCAGGUAGAGGAGUUGGCACUGUCACUGCUGUGGAGCCUGUUCAAUCUUUGGCCUCAGAGCUUCUCCAUGCCAGGGGUGUGGCCAAAAUAACCAACCAAACAAAAAAUACAGAAAAAUAGAAAGGGAUGCAAAGGAGCUUCUGGAGCACUAGGACACUGUUUCUCCAUCUGGGCACCAGUGGUGUGGUUUUAUUCCCUUUGUGGAAAUUCUUUAGGCUAGAAUGAGGCUAGAAUGUAUCCUUUCUAUAUGUGUUACAUUUUAAUAAAAGGCCCACACUUAAAAAUAUAAACUGUUUAUAGGCAAAAGACAAAGUGUAGGGUAAAGUUUAAUGGAAUAUUGGACUUAGUUGUUGGAGAGAGUGAUUUUAAAUUCCAAUUUAUAUGAACACUGUCUCUAGGCUAUUGAAGCCAUUUCCUUUUCCUUAGAUAUGUAAGGUUGCUCCCUAGGUUUGUUUUUCCCAUCUCCAAAUUAAAAAUAGAGUCUAGAAAAACAGGAUAGAGAAUUCAGAAGCAAAUCUAAAUCACACAGGAAUUUAGUGUAGAGUAAACCAUGGAAUUUCAAAUUGGUGCGAUGGGAGAGGAGAACUGACUUUUCAGUAGCUGGUUUUGAGACAACUGGUACCCGUUUAGAAAAAUUUUUAUUGAAUUCCUAUCUUCUUUAUAUGAAAGUAAAUUUUAGCUAGAUUAAAAUAUACAUGUAAAAAUGAAACCAUAAAAAUACUAAAAAAAUAUGGGAGAAUAAUUUUUAAAACCAUGGAAUAUAACCUAAGCAUGAUUCAGAAAAUUCAGGAGCCAUAUGAGAAAAGAUGGAUAAAUUUGAAAAGUUCUGCGUGGUUAAAAAAUUUACAGUCAAAAGGUAAACUGAGAAAAAUAUCUGCAGCCCAGAUGUAGGCUAAUUUCUUUUAUAGAUAACAUACUUACAGACAACAAAACGUGAAAAAAAUCAGAGUCCAAAAGAAAAAAUGAGCAAAGAGCAUUUGAUUCAAACAAAUAAACAAAAAUCACAAAGACAUUGCAGCAUACAAACAUACCGUGUAAGAAAAGAUGCCCUGAUCCCACCCAUAAUAGGAAAAUACAAAUAAAAUCACAACUACAGCACAUAAUCAUUUUCCUCAUAUUUGAUAAAAACCUUUGCUGGUACAUUGUGUUCCCAGGCUAGGGGUUGAAUCGGAGCUGUAGCCACUGGCCCACGCCAGAGCCACAGCAAUGCGGGAUCCGAGCCGCGUCUGCAACCUACACCACAGCUCACGGCAACGCCAGAUCCUUAACCCACUGAGCAAGGGCAGGGACCGAGCCCAAAACCUCAUGGUUCCUAGUCGGAUUCGUUAACCACUGCACCACGACGGGAACUCCUGAGAUGAAAAUUCUUAAAAAAAAUUUUUUUUAUUUCUCAGUUCUUAGGUUCUGCUGACCUAGCAGAGUCUUUCUAUGGGCAGCUAUAUAAACCUUUACCUAGAGAGGGACAUAAAGAAGCAUCUCUUCGAUAACUCUGGGUUUUUAGCGCAGAAGAAAAGAUACUGACCAGGGCCAGUGACUGGUGGAGGAUUGGUUGUAUCCCAGUAGGAUUGGUCUGUUUUUCUGUGGUGCGCUUUUUAGCUUUUUGUGUAACCAAAAAAUCCUCCUAGACUAUUCUCUGCCAACAGAGUUUUUUCUGAGAUGGAAGGCAACAGAUGUUUCUGUUGGAAAUUGGCAUCUGUCUCUCCCCACACUGCAGUGCCCUCCGAGCUGGGCCCAUGUAGCACUGAAUUCACAUUAGAACCUCUCUCAGGAGACUCCUGAUGAAGAACCUGUCAGACCCUAGUGACCCUGGAGGCCACGAGGAGAGGAGAGACGGAGGCACACCUUUGCAGGGGCCAAGACUCUCCCGAUACGGGAAGCCAGCGUUUGAGGCGUUUGAGAAUCCUUCAGCCUUUAGGAUUCUUUAGUUGACUAGGGUCUUAUAGCCUGACUCGCCCAGGGGUAAAAACAUCAAGGUAGAAAUCUGUCUUCUCAGAACAUACCCAGAAAUAGUGAUUCUCUAUUUUGAGUCUUUCCUUGGGCAGCACACCAAACAGGUGCCUUCGGUUAUAAAUUCAGUUUUUUUUUUUUUACAUGUGCACACUAAAUGCUAGGAAAUUCCCACCCUUUCCCUACCCCCUCGAUUGUCUCCUUUUUUUAAAAAAACUUUCAACUUCCCAUCCCCUGUUUCCCCCCUCCCACCCCCUCCCCCUAGGGCACCUCCAGAGACUGCCUCAAUGCAUUCUGGGUAGUGCUUGUGUGAAUUUUUCAGAAACACUUUAAGUGACAUUUAUUCCUUUUGUCUAAUUAGGAAAGCAACAUGUUUCUCAUAGACAAUCUGGAAAAUACAGGAGAGCAAGAUGAAGAAGAUUAUCAAGAGGGACUUUUAAACUUUUCUUUCAAACUGCCCUUUUCUCUCCAUCUUUGCAGCCACACACUCUUUUGCUCCACAUUUUGCAUCUCUGACGGUCUGGGACUUGGCACACUAUCCCAGACGGUCAGAGACCCGGAACCCUGUGUUAAAAGGGUGCCCAGGAGUUCCCAUCGUGGCUCAGCAGUUAACGUAUCCACUUAGGAACCAUGAAGAUGCAGGUUUGAUCCCUGGCCUUGCUCAGUGGGUUAAAGAUCCGGCGUUGCCAUGAGCUGUGGUGUAGGUCGCAGACGCGGCUCGGAUCCCGAGUUGCUGUGGUUGUGGUGGGGGUGGGGGGGCGCUACAGCUCCCUACAGACGUCUAGCCUGGGAAUCUCCAUAUGCCACCGUAGCAGCCCUAGAAAAGGCAAAAAGACCAAAAAAAUAAAAAAGGGUGCCCAGAUACAGUGGGCAGCUCCAGCUUGCCUCUGAAGCCUUGCAGAAUGGGAGAAAGUACAGCAUCCCUGGACGAUGUUUGGCUCUGGUCCCCUCCCAAGAAGGGUGGUUGCUGGGAGGAACGACGAAGGAGUGGUGUGUACCACACUGUUGCAGGAGUUUGUCCUCCCCAUACCUGGGCAGCUUUUACUCUUGGAGGGGGAAAGAGGAUGUCUGGGGGAUGUGUGUUUUCUACCAGCAUUCACGCUCUGUCACCUUGGCUUUCCUCCGUGACCUUGCCUCUUUAGGAUGGAAGCUCUUUGUUGUGAAUACUCAUUGUUCAUGCCGUUGUAUUUUUCCGAGAAGAACUGGGAUCCAGAGUGAGAAUCCUUCUGCCUGAAGCCUUUGCACUUGUGCUUUUGGCUAGUUCCCAGCAGAUCAUGGCAGUAGCAAUCAGUGGCAGAGAGGUCUGAUGUCAUUUCAGUUGCUGACCGACCCAGGCCCUGGAGCAGCCCGUCUUGAGGACAGCAGUGUGAAAGCUCAAAAGAGACAGUCCUAGUUUUGAUGACCUUCAGACUACAGGCUUCUGUGGGGACUUUUCAUUUUCAUAAAAACCCUUUUGUGUGGAGUUUCCAUCGUGGCUCAUCAGAAACAAAUCUGACUAGCAUCCAUGAGGAUGCAGGUUUGAUCCCUGGCCUCACCAGAGGUUGAGGGUUCAGGAUCCGGCAUUGCCAUGAGCUGUGAUGUAGGUCGAAAAUGUGACUCGGAUCUGGCUACACAGUUGGCUGUGGCUGUGGCCGGCGGCUACACCUCCCAUUCAACCCCUAGCCUGGGAACCUCCAUAUGCUGUGGGCACGGCCCUGAAAAGACACACACGCACACACGAAAAAACCCUUCUGUGGUUGAGAGAUGAGAACCCAGGAGCAGUUCCAAUUGAUUCUAUUUUUGUGACAUUAGGUAUGUGUUUCUACGAAGAGAAUUGGACCUUGGGCUUGGGAAGAUAUUCAUCAUGGGGCAGGAGCUUUGCAGAAUUCCCUUGCUCCUGGUUUGUAUCGUUUUUUUUGGGGGGGGGUGUGGCGGUAUGAAGUUCCCAGGCCAGAGAUUAGAUCUGAGCCACAGUUGUGACUUACACCACAGCAGUGGCAAUCCCAGAUCCUUUAACGCACUGUGCCGGGCCGGGGAUUGAACCUGCAUCCUAGUGCUGCAUUGAUGUGGUCAAUCCCGUUGCACCACAAAUGCGCAUGCCAGUUUCUAUGAUUCCCUCCCCCCGUUUCACCCAGUCCGUGUGAUACCCUCAUAUCUUUUCCUAUACUUUUAUUCCUUAUUCCCUCUGAAAAUUUUGUGUCUUUUAGAACAGAAUAGGGGGAAAGGGAGAGAAACAGGCUUAUUAAUAAUUAUGGUAGUUUAAAAAAAAAUUCUUGGUGAAUAACCUCCCUUGCAGAUUGUAAUUUUUCAGAGAAGAAUAUGAUGUAAAAAUUUUUUUCUACUAUCCUCUUGCCAGAACAGCUCAUGGAGAAGCAUGUAUGUGUUCCCAAGCGUUGCUAACAACCAUCUGAUUUCUCUCUGCUUCUGCCUUGUCCCCUUAACUUACCUCUUUGUCCACUCUGGGGGUUGCGGUGACAAGUAGGUACAAAGAAGCCAUUAAGAGUGACCUGGAGGGGAGUUCCUGUCAUGGAGCAGUGGAGGGGAAGCCGACUAUAGUUCGAUCCCUGGCCUCGCUCAGUGGGUUAAGGAUCCAACGUUGCCAUGGGCUGUGGUGUAGGUCGCAGAUUCAGCUAUGAUCUGGCAUUGCUGUGGCUGUGGCUUAGGCCAGUGGCAACAGCUCUGACUAGACCCCUAGCCUGGGAACCUCCGUAUGCCUUGGGUGCAGCCCUCAAAAUACAAAAGAAAAAAAAAAAGAGUGACCUGGAGAGAGUUCCCGUUGUGGCUCAGGGAGUUAAAAACCCCCGACUAGUAUCCGUGAGGACGUGGGUUUGAUCCCUGGUCUUGCUCAGUAGUUAAGGAUCCGACAUUGCCGCAAGCUGCAGUGUAGGUUGUAGACAAGCGGCUCUGAUCCAGUGUUGCUAGGGCUGUGGGAUAGGCCAGCAGCUGUAGCUCUGAUUUGACCCCUCCUCGCCUGGGAACUUCCAUAUGCUGCAGGGGCAGCCCUAAAAAGCAAAAAAA
rnacentral:lncRNA from 1 species